rnacentral:lncRNA from 1 species
ACGAAUCGGGGAGACAUGGGGCAGAUGCACGAAUCGGGGAGACAUGGGGCAGAUGCACGAAUCGGGGAGACAUGGGGCAGAUGCACGAAUCGGGGAGACAUGGGGCAGAUGCACGAAGUGUGAUGCAGGACAGGCUUGUGGUGCUUAGCUACAUAAGAUCAUUCUGUAUAAAAAAAGCUUCCCCAUUUAAGUGAACUGGCUUUAAGAGUACUUCAUUUUGCAGAGGCAGCUGUAACUGGCCUUGGCAUUGGAUCCAGGAUAUCCAUUUUGUAUCAAGUGCAAAUUUUGUUAUGUGAUCUACGAUGCCUGGAAAAGUUUGUAGCGAAGAUCACUACAUCUCACAAAAAGUGAAUAAAAAGAAGAGGAUUGGUAUUUCUGGAAAUGACUGUUCAUUGAAAAUUCAGCAACGUGGCCUUAUAAUCUUCAGAUAUGAAUUUUCUGUAAACGUGUUACUGAGUCCCUGUAGUAGAAGACUUGGAAGAAAUAAACAGAAAAGUAAUAGAAAUAUUGGAAUACAUAUUUUUCUUUAUUGUUUUUGAGGAACUUGAAAACAGGACAGGUCACCUUCAACUCAGUGUUUAAAGAGGCACUUAAGAAUCAGGAUCUCAUUGGCAUCAGUAUGUUUUACACCUGAACUUGAAAAGUGUCUCAAAGUCUUGUUAAUAUUUGAAAAAAUAUUUCAAGGACCUUAGAACAAAAGGAAUACUUUAAUAUUUCAAUGGAAAGAAGAAUAUCAUGUCUACUGCCAGAAAUAUGGACUGCGUUUUGAAAUUUGCAUUGUAUUAGACAAUAUUUGUAAUUCAGUGGGGGUAGUAAGGGCUCCCGUGGUGUAGCUGGACACUAGCAUCUGUUUGGACUUUCCAUUUGCAUAUUCAGACCACAAUUCUGCCAUAGCACAGAAGUAAAGCCUAGAAAAUAAUUAUUCAUAUGUUUCCAGUUGUAUCUUUUACCCAAACUUCAUUUUAUUUUUCUCCUAGAAUGCACAGACGGACUAAGGGUUGAUUAGCUCACUGGCCGUACUUCAUUAUGAAACAGUAUAUAAUUCAUGUUUAAAAAUUCUUUUCCCUUAGAUCCUUUCCCCGCUUGCCAAAAAGGAAAGUGUUUUGCACUUGUAUUUAUGUCUCUCAGAUAUAUUUUUGAUUUAUUUGAUUUAACUAUCCAGUGAAUUCUAGUCAACAUGGAUUUUAAAUACUAAUAAAAGUAAAGUUGAG